AUUGAACGCUGGCGGCAGGCCUAACACAUGCAAGUCGAGCGGAUGAAGGGAGCUUGCUCCUGGAUUCAGCGGCGGACGGGUGAGUAAUGCCUAGGAAUCUGCCUGGUAGUGGGGGAUAACGUCCGGAAACGGGCGCUAAUACCGCAUACGUCCUGAGGGAGAAAGUGGGGGAUCUUCGGACCUCACGCUAUCAGAUGAGCCUAGGUCGGAUUAGCUAGUUGGUGGGGUAAAGGCUUACCAAGGCGACGAUCCGUAACUGGUCUGAGAGGAUGAUCAGCCACACGGGAACGGAGACAGGGACCAUACGACUACGGGAGGCAGCAGUGGCGAAUAGUAGGCAAUGGGCGAAAGCCUGAUCCAGUCAUGCCGCGUGUGUGAAGAAGGUCUUCGGAUUGUAAAGACCUUUAAGUUGGGAGGAAGGGCAGUAAGUUAAUACCUUGCUGUUUUGACGUUACUGACAGAAUAAGCACCGGCUAACUUCGUG
rnacentral:rRNA from 1 species